GCCAACCUAGCUCAGCUGGCAGAGCAGCAGUUUCGUAAAUUGCAGGUCGAGGGUUCGAGCCCCUUGGUUGGCU
rnacentral:tRNA from 1 species